rnacentral:rRNA from 1 species
UACGUAGGGUGCGAGCGUUGUCCGGAAUUAUUGGGCGUAAAGAGCUUGUAGGUGGCUCGUUGCGUCGGGAGUGAAAACCCGUGGCUUAACCACGGGCCUGCUUCCGAUACGGGCGAGCUAGAGUUCGGCAGGGGAGACUGGAAUUCCUGGUGUAGCGGUGGAAUGCGCAGAUAUCAGGAGGAACACCGGUGGCGAAGGCGGGUCUCUGGGCCGAUACUGACACUGAGAAGCGAAAGCGUGGGGAGCGAACAGG